rnacentral:rRNA from 1 species
GAUGAACGCUGGCGGCGUGCCUAAUACAUGCAAGUCGAGCGAACAGACGAGGAGCUUGCUCCUCUGACGUUAGCGGCGGACGGGUGAGUAACACAUGGAUAACCUACCUAUAAGACUGGGAUAACUUCGGGAAACCGGAGCUAAUACCGGAUAAUAUAUUGAACCGCAUGGUUCAAUAGUGAAAGACGGUUUUGCUGUCACUUAUAGAUGGAUCCGCGCCGCAUUAGCUAGUUGGUAAGGUAACGGCUUACCAAGGCGACGAUGCGUAGCCGACCUGAGAGGGUGAUCGGCCACACUGGAACUGAGCCACGGUCCAGACUCCUACGGGAGGCAGCAGUAGGGAAUCUUCCGCAAUGGGCGAAAGCCUGACGGAGCAACGCCGCGUGAGUGAUGAAGGUCUUCGGAUCGUAAAACUCUGUUAUUAGGGAAGAACAAAUGUGUAAGUAACUAUGCACGUCUUGACGGUACCUAAUCAGAAAGCCACGGCUAACUACGUG